UACGGGGGGGGCAAGCGUUGUUCGGAAUUACUGGGCGUAAAGCGCGUGUAGGCGGCUCUUCAAGUCGAGUGUGAAAGCUCCAGGCUUAACCUGGGAAUUGCGCUCGAUACUGUUGAGCUAGAGUGUGGAAGGGGCUACUGGAAUUCCGUGUGUAGCGGUGAAAUGCGUAGAUAUACGGAGGAACACCUGCGGCGAAGGCGGCUCUCUGGGACGGUACUGACGCUGAGACGCGAAAGCGUGGGGAGCGAACAGG
rnacentral:rRNA from 1 species